rnacentral:rRNA from 1 species
UACGUAGGGGGCAAGCGUUGUCCGGAUUUAUUGGGCGUAAAGAGCGUGUAGGCGGCCUGACAGGUCUGCUGUGAAAACUCGAGGCUCAACCUCGAGAUGUCGGCGGAAACCGUCUGGCUAGAGUCCUGAAGAGGAGAGUGGAAUUCCUGGUGUAGCGGUGAAAUGCGCAGAUAUCAGGAGGAACACCAAUUGCGAAGGCAGCUCGCUGGAAAGUAACUGACGCUGAGACGCGAAAGCGUGGGGAGCAAACAGG